UCGAGAAUUUUUCACAAUGGGGGAAACCCUGAUGGAGCGACGCCGCGUGGGGGAUGAAUGGCUUCGGCCCGUAAACCCCUGUCAUUUGCGAACAAACCUCAUGCAUGAACAAUGCAUGAAUUGAUUGUAGCGGAAGAGGAAGGGACGGCUAACUCUGUGCCAGCAGCCGCGGUAAUACAGAGGUCCCAAGCGUUGUUCGGAUUCACUGGGCGUAAAGGGUGCGUAGGUGGUCGGGUAAGUCUGAUGUGAAAUCUCGCAGCUCAACUGCGAAACUGCAUUGGAUACUAUCCGGCUGGAGGAUUGGAGGGGAGACUGGAAUUCUUGGUGUAGCAGUGAAAUGCGUAGAUAUCAAGAGGAACACCAGUGGCGAAGGCGAGUCUCUAGACAAUUCCUGACACUGAGGCACGAAAGCUAGGGGAGCAAACAGG
rnacentral:rRNA from 1 species